UGGGGAAUUUUGGACAAUGGGCGCAAGCCUGAUCCAGCAAUGCCGCGUGCAGGAUGAAGGCCUUCGGGUUGUAAACUGCUUUUGUACGGAACGAAAAGUCUUGGGUUAAUACCCUGGGAUCAUGACGGUACCGUAAGAAUAAGCACCGGCUAACUACGUGCCAGCAGCCGCGGUAAUACGUAGGGUACAAGCGUUAAUCGGAAUUACUGGGCGUAAAGCGUGCGCAGGCGGUUUUGUAAGACAGUGGUGA
rnacentral:rRNA from 1 species